AACGAACGCUGGCGGCAGGCUUAACACAUGCAAGUCGAACGCCUGUAGCAAUACACGAGUGGCGCACGGGUGAGUAACGCGUGGAUAUCUGCCUUUUGAUUCGGAAUAACUCCGGGAAACUGGAGCUAAUACCGGAUGGUUCCUUCGGGAUAAAGAUUUAUCGCCAAAAGAUGAGUCCGCGUACGAUUAGCUAGUUGGUGAGGUAAUGGCUCACCAAGGCGACGAUCGUUAGCUGGUCUGAGAGGACGAUCAGCCACACUGGGACUGAGACACGGCCCAGACUCCUACGGGAGGCAGCAGUGGGGAAUAUUGGACAAUGGGGGCAACCCUGAUCCAGCCAUGCCGCGUGAGUGAUGAAGGCCUUCGGGUUGUAAAGCUCUUUUGGCGGGGACGAUGAUGACGGUACCCGCAGAAUAAGCCCCGGCUAACUUCGUGCCAGCCGCCGCAGUAA
rnacentral:rRNA from 1 species